rnacentral:rRNA from 1 species
AGGAUCAACGCUGGCGGCGUGCCUAAAACAUGCAAGUCGGACGGCCACCUUCGGGUGGCAGUGGCGGACGGCUGAGUAAGACGUGGGUGACCUGCCACUUGGUGGGGGAUAACCCCUCGAAAGGGGGGCUAAGACCGCAUGAGGUCCUCGGUUCGGACUGAGGAGGAAAGCCGCAAGGCGCCAGGUGAGGGGCCCGCGGCCGAUUAGCUAGCUGGUGGGGUAAUGGCCUACCAGGGCUGUGAUCGGUAGCUGGUCUGAGAGGAUGGCCAGCCAGACUGGGACUGAGAGACGGCCCAGACUCCGUGCGGGAGCAGCAGUUAGGAUUUGGGCAAGUGGGCGCAAGCCUGACCCAGCAACGCCGCGUGG